rnacentral:misc_RNA from 1 species
GAUGAAGAACGUAGCGAAAUGCGAUAAGUAAUGUGAAUUGCAGAAUUCAGUGAAUCAUCGAAUCUUUGAACGCACCUUGCGCCCUUUGGCUAUUCCGAAGGGCAUGCCUGUUUGAGUAUCAUGAACACCUCAACUCUCAUGGUUUGCCAUGAUGAGCUUGGACUUUUGGGGGUCUUGCUGGCCUGUGGUCAGCUCCUCUCAAAUGAAUUAGCCUGCCAGUGUUUGGUGGCAUCACAGGUGUGAUAACUAUCUACGCUUGUGGUUUUCCACCAGGUAACCUUCAGUGAUGAAGGUUCGCUGGGGCUCAUAAACGUCUCUCCUCAGUGAGGACAGCUCUUUGAACGUUUGAUCUCAAAUCAGGUAGGACUACCCGCUGAACUUAAGCAUAUCAAUAAGCGGAGGA